rnacentral:rRNA from 1 species
CCUACGGGAGGCAGCAGUGAGGAAUAUUGGUCAAUGGGCGCGAGCCUGAACCAGCCAAGUCGCGUGAGGGAGGACGGCCCUACGGGUUGUAAACCUCUUUUGCCGGGGAGCAACGGGCGUCACGUGUGGCGCCACUGAGAGGACCCGGAGAAAAAGCAGCGGCUAACUCCGUGCCAGCAGCCGCGGUAAUACGGAGGAUGCGAGCGUUAACCGGAUUGAUUGGGUUUAAAGGGUGCGUAGGCGGAUCGUUAAGUCAGUGGUCAAAUUGAGGGGCUCACCCCCUUCCCGCCAUUGAAACUGGCGCUCUUGAGUGGAAGAGAAGUAUGCGGAAUGCGUGGUGUAGCGGUGACAUGCAUAGCUAUCACGCAGAACCCCGAUUGCGAAGGCAGCAUGCCGGCUUCCGACUGACGCUGAAGCAC